rnacentral:lncRNA from 1 species
AAGAGGAUUAUAACUAGUGAUGUUUGCUGAGAGUGGGAGAAGGGGAGUAGCAGCACAAGUGCCACAUAUGCGUCAUAUUUAAUAUUGUGUUUUCUGUGAAAUACUCUGUUUCUGUGCCUGUAUUUUAGUCUUGGCUACUUGUAGAUGUUGCAUUGCUGCUGCCGCUGCUGCUGUUACUACAACUACAAUUGCUGCCAGUUGCUCCUUGCGUAGGACCAGAGUGAUCAUUCAUCAGAAACCUCAUCCUCACAGUCUGGGGUUUGUUCCUGUGGCUGGUAUUCACAGUUUUCCCCUUCCAACUUUACCUCAGCUAUCCCCUUACCUACAUUAACAGGUAGGCUUCCAGUUUAUGUUCACCACCCAACAGGCUCAUAUUUCCUUUUUCUUAUUUAGUGUGAUUAAUCAUUAGUGCUUCAUGAGAAGCCUUCUUUCUGUUAGAAAAUGUGACAACUAGAAUACAAGUUAAACCAUUCCAUUCAGGGCCCUACAGUGAGUCAUGUAAGCUCCCUUUUAAAAUGAGAGAAAGUUGAGCAUGCUUGCAGACUAUAAGGCAUGUCUUUGUACGUGUGGAAGAGAAAUGAUAACCUAUUGCUCUUAGAAUACGGGUGGAGGCCUAUCCUUAGAUGAAAGGAGUUACCUCUUCACUGAGGUAUAGUGAUGAUAAGAAUAGGAGUUGGGAAGAGUACCUGAUAAAGGUGUUGCAGAUUUGUAAUUGUAGAGGUGGAUGGUGGAUAGGCAGCUGACCAGGGAUCAGACUGUGGACAAAAGAGUCUAAGGAAUAUCCAGGCCAAAAGGCUGGAGCGGAGCACUUAACGGCAUAUGGAAGUGGGCAGCUAGUUUGAAAGUUGAUUAGAGAGGAAAAUAUAAAGUGGUCUUGGGCCACUGUCACAAUUAACAUUCGGUUGCCUGGAACUGACCUCGAUUGAGGGAUGGACAGCUAGGAAGAGAGGUGUUACACAGAAAUGGAAUUGAGGAUCCAGAGUGUAUAUGGAAGGAAGUUAGUUCAGAAGUGAGUUCAAAGUCUGUACAGAAAAAGAGGCCUUAGUGUGUUCAAGAUGGAUGUUGAGUAGUUAGAAAACUGGAAUGAUAGGACCAGUAUCAGAAAGUGAACUUUGGAAUGUUAAAAUUUAAAAACUAGAGCAAUCAAGAUACUUGUGAUACUAGGAUGUCAGAUGGUCAUUUACCUGGAUAUUAAAGUGACCUGGGAUUAUAGUAAAAGCUGGGCUAGGAAUGAGACUGUGAGCUAGAUAAAAUAGGCUUUAGUAACUGAGUAACUAUCUGGAGAUUGGCACAUGACAACUCUGCAGAUGCAAGAGAAGAGAGGAUGUAGUGGGAUAGUAGUACAAGUCUCAAAGAGUGGUGAGGAUUAUUAGAAGAUACAGAAACUGUGCUUCGCACAUUAUACUGAAGUUUUGGCUGGCAGAAUGCACAACUAAAAUGAUCCUCUCCUAUAUCAAGUGCUUGUUCUAUUUGCUGUGUGCCAUCUGUUUAUCCCUUUGGGGUCACAUUUUUUGUGCGAAAAUGAGCCACAAUCCCAGGCAAGGAUAGCUAGGCUGCUGACCCUCAGCACUGGUAGAAUCCUCUAGCCAUCUACUAACUCUGGAAGAGCAACAGGCUGGUCGUCUGGAAGUAUCAUAAAGAGAUUUCUUUAGGAUUGAAAUUUUUCCUUGACUUUGAUGUAACUUCAUUAUGUGAUAUAAGCUUUUGUUGGCUCUGUUUCAUAAUGUGCUUUGGCUUCUGAGUCUCUAAGUUGAGAAGUGAACUAAUACUGCCCUUUGGGAAAAACAGGCACAGUACUUUAAAAAUACACACUGAUUAAUCGGAACAAGACACGGUCAUAUUAUCUAAAUGAGUUUUCAAGAUAAAGAGUAGGCAAAAGAAAGUGCACAUCAAUGGGUGAAUAACAAAACCACUUUGUAAAAGCCAUUUAGAGUCAGGAUACUUCCAGUUUGGUUGCCAUAUUAUAGGUGUUCCCUGUGCUUUUGGGAAGGAAGGCUGGAUUGAUGCAAAGAGAUGGCUGUUAGGACUCGGAAGUUUAGGAAGAGAGUCUCUGUAAACCCUCUGAUAUUGCUUGCAGCCAUUUUUGUUUUGCAGUAGUCUUUAAAUGAGUCAAUAUUCCUAAAAAGCUAUAGAGCCUAUAGACCAGGCUCUCAGAUAGCCCAUUCCCUCUUGUGGGGCUGCUCUAUAUUUGUUCCUUAGGAGUUGCUGGUAGAAGACUUCAUGAAGGAGAGAAGAAAAGGAAAAAAUCAGAGGAUGACUACAGCCUCCUUCAUCUCAGCUUUGCAAAGCAUUACUCAACAGAGGGAUCACUCUCUUGAAUACUCUCCAGACCACAGGAUGAUUGGGCCAGAGACAGUGGGCAGAAUGACUUCAGGCAACCCCAAACGCCAGAUAUGGCAUAAGGAAACAGUUUAAGGAAAAGGUCAAUCCUUGGACCUAGUAUUUGUGAUGCAAUAUCUUAAAUUAAAAGGAAGAGCUGCUUUGGAGAAGGGUUUUAAAAGAUUGUAUUUCAUAGAAAGAAGAAAGAUUUAGAGGAGAAACUUCCAAUUAUAUAAGAUGGGCAUUAUAACUUUUAAAGACAUCUGUUGCCUACAUGGGUCAUAGAGAUUGAUACCAGUAUCAGCCUGUGGCUGACUAGGCCAGUUUAAGUGGUUUCCUGUUUGAAGAGAGAUGCUGCCAUUCUCUCACUUUGGCAGGUAUUCACCUGCAAUGAGUCCAGUACCUGGAGGAGCAAGAAAAAAACAAGCAUCCAGGGGGACAAUAGUAUAGCCUUCUGAGUUAAGAUAGCAACUGAAAAGAUCAUGGGAUUGGCUGCACUGGGCUGGGCUUGUUUGUUUUUUCAAAAUAAAAAAGUUUUCUUUUUGAUGAUAAAAGUAACAGAUGAUCAUUGUUUAAAAAUAAAGUGAAAAGUAUAAAUCAAAAAGUAAAGAAUAAUGUGCUUCCUUUUACUCUAAAAAAAGUGUAUGUAACACAGUUUAAAAAUAAAAUUGACAUUGUAUGCCAUUUUCUAACUUUUCUCAUUUGAAAAUAAGCAUUCUUCCAUGUCAUUAACAUUAUUUAAAAAUACAAUAUUGUGUCAUAUUUCAUAUGGAUCUAACAAAAUUUAUUUAGAUCAUCUCAUGAUGCAGAUAUUUUGGAUGUUACCAAUUUUGCUUAUAAAAUUCUGAUGAACAUAUUGUAUAUUCACCUUUAUAUGCAUCUCUAUUUCUUUAGAAUUAAUUCCUAGAAUUGGAAUUACUGAGUUUGAAUUAUGAGAGCAUUAUUAGGGCACUGAAAGGUACUGUUAAAUUAUACUGAAUAUAGUCACACAAAUUACAUUCCCAUCAGUGGUGCAUGAAUGUGCUAUUUCUCCACACAUUCAUCAAAACAUGCUCUUUCCUUUAAUAAAUCUCUGAUCAUUUGAUAGGUAAAUUUCCAUUUGUUUUAGAGAUUGUUUCUAAUUUACAUACACUAAAAUUCACUCUUACAGUGUAUAGUUCUAUAGUUUGACAAGUAUAGAGUCAUGUGUUCUUCCAUUCUAGUACCAUACAGAACUGUUUCAUCUAUAGUAAUUUCUCUUGAUUGCACUUUUUGUUGUAAAUCCCUUUCCCCAUCUUCAGUCCCUGGAAACCACUUGUUUGUCAUCUAUCCCUAUGGUUUUUGCCUUUUACAGAAAGUCAUAUGGAUGGAAUCAUGCAAUAUGUAGACCUUUUUGAUCUGGCUUCUUUCACUUAGUAAAAUGAAUUUAAGUAUCAUCUACAUUGUUUUUAGGUAAAUUAAUAUUCAUUCCUUUUUAUUUUUGUACUUCAUUGUAUGGCUAUACCAGUUUGUUUAUCCAUUCAUUAAUGGAUAGACAUGUGAGAUGUUUCCAUUUUUAGGCCAUUAUAAAUAAAGUUGCUAUAAACUCUCAGAUGCCAGUUUUGUGUGAAUGUAAAUGUUCAGUUCAAUAGGGCAAAUGCCUAAGAGUGAAAAUGAAGGCUAAAACUUCUCCAAAGUUUCUAUAUCAUUUUGCAUUCCCACCAUAAGUAUUGAGUUCUGGUUGUUCCACUUCUUCCACAUCUUAACCAGCACUUGGCAUUACUGUAUUUUUUUAAUUUUAGUCAUUGAAUAUGUAGUGGUAUAUCAUUGUGGUUUUAAUUUGCAAUGCGCUAAUGGUAUAUGAGUUUGAGCAUCUUUUCAUACACUUAUUUGUCAUCUGAAUGUCUUAUUUUGUGAAGCUUCUGUUUGAAUAUUCCCCCCCCCCUUUUAGCGGGUGAUUCUUUUUUUUCUUACUGUUUAGAUCUCCCCCCAUGUAUAUACACACACACACACACACACAUUAGAUCCUGGACCAGGGAUCAAGCCCAAGCAUAGCAGUGACAACAUUGAAUCCCAAGUGCUAUGCCACCAGGGAGUUCCUUGAUUUCUAUAUAUAUAGUCUUUUUAGGGCUGCACCUACAGCAUCUGGAGGUUCCUAGGCUAGAGACUGAAUUGAAGCUGUAGCUGCUGGCCUACACCAGAGCCACAGCAACACCAGAUCUGAGCUGUGUCUGUGACCUACACCGCGGAUCACGGUAAUGCCAGAUCUUUAACUCACUGAGCAAGGCCAGGCAUCAAACCUGUGUCCUCAUGGAUACUAGUCAUUCUUUUCUGCUGAGCCAUGACAGGAACUACUUUAUCAUAUAUAUUGUUUGGAGUGGAUUCUCCAAGCCUGUGCUUGUCUUUCUAGUAGCAGUGCCUUUUUCAGAGCAAAAUGUUUAAUUUUAUGAAGUCCACUUUGUCAAAUAUGUGCCAGUAUAAAUUGGGAUGGGUAUAAAUGAAAUUAAAAUGUUCUAAGUCACUUACAUUAUCCAGGUGGUGUUUAAUGAUAACAUAUUUAUUGUGGAAGUCAGACUCUAAGGAUAAAUUUAGAAGCUCUGGCCUAAUCCUUAUACUUUGUAAUAUCACUUUUGAUGUGGGCAGGAUCUGUGUCUUGCUUCUAACCAAUAAACUAUGG